rnacentral:rRNA from 1 species
UGACUUAACCCUCCCUGUGUAUCAAUCCAUGUUGCUUUCCCAGUUGUUAGCCUUUUCRGGCUCCUGGGAAAGGUUCCAUAUAAAUCUAUUGAUCAAAUUGGCUGUCUGAGUUGGCCCAGUGCCAUAUUCUUUGAAAAUGUUAAAACUUUCAACAACGGAUCUCUUGGCUCUCGUAUCGAUGAAGAACGCAGCGAAAUGCGAUAAGUAAUGUGAAUUGCAGAAUUCAGUGAAUCAUCGAAUCUUUGAACGCACAUUGCACCCCUUGGUAUUCCUUGGGGCAUGCCUGUUCGAGCGUCACUGCAAACCCGCUCAUAACUAUUAUGGUAUUGAUGGAAGUGAUCUGUAGCAACUGAUGCUUAMUGUUCACCCCAUCGAAAUGCAUAGGCAGGAUAAUGAACCUCNGCACUGGACUUGGUAACUGUUUUAGAGACAUAAAUUAGUCCCUUGURGUGUUCUGGCCUGGCCUUCAAGGACCCCCAUCCAAAACGAAUAGAGGGUUGACCUCGGAUCAGGUA